AGAUAUUACAGUCUCAUAACAGAACGUUUGGACAUGAAAAAGUGGAGGUAGUUAUUGCAAAAGUCUAUUUGAUCUAACUACUAGCAGGGGGAUUUUCAUAAAAUGCACAUUAAGUGGCCUAGGAUCCCUUCACUAGAAUCUGUGCCAUCCACACUAGAGCUGACGGCCCAGAUCUGUUUUUCUAUUUUUGCAUCACAAGGUGUUCUUCUAUUGUAGUCACUCCCAUUGUAGAGUAGAAUGUUUCUCGUAAUCUUUACCUACUAAUAAACCAGCUAUCGCGUCGUGACCAUUUUUGCAAAACAAGCCCCUGUUGUUUGUUGAAUUCAACCCGCAGUCCUAUAUUAAGUGAGUUCCUAAGGAAACGUUUCAUUUUUGCAAACAAGCCCCUGCAUUAGUUGGAAUUCAGCCCGCAGUCAGUCCUUAUAUUCCUUAUCCAUUCCAGACUCCACCGCCGGUCACUCGCCGCCGCUUGGUGCCGGCGUCCACGACGCCGCUCCGACGACCCCUCGCCACCCGCCAUCGCCCGCAGCCACCAGCAGGCCACUAUUCUGUUUCCUCUCAUCCUCCCCCUCGCGCCUGCGUCCCUCCAUGGUCGGCGAGGACCACCUCCGGCCUCCCCUUCCUCUGCCCCGCCUCCUCACCUCGCGCCCGAGUGCCGCUCCUGCAGCACCUCCGCCGUCCGGCUCUGUUUUCUGGUGCCCCGUCGCCGCGGGACCUCCCCUCGCACCGCGUGCUGCUGCUUCCCCUCGCCCAGUCCCGUGCGCCUCAUUCCUCCACGCGAGCGCGCCGCGCCCCGAGCUCCAUCAUCCCCGCUUCGCCCGCGCCUCCUCCUUCCGUCGCUGUCCGCGACCUCCUCUGCUCGCGCAUGACCAUCUCGUUGGCCUCCCCUGCUCAAGCGGGCCAACCACCAGGGACGACGGGGCUCCUAUGGCCGCCGGUGUCAGGAGAAAGAAGGGUGGCGGCGCUCCUGGCGACGAGCAGCAAGCGGAGGCGAGGAGGUGGCGGGGUUCUUGGUGGUCGCCGGCGUGGCGAGGGCCGGAGGAGUCGCCGGCGCGGGCGUCGGGCGCGGUCGGAGCAGAGGAAUGCAGGUCGUGCUCGCGCGCAAGUCCCGUGUCCAAUUUGGAUUGAUUGUAGACCGUGUCCUUGUCGAACACAAGUCAAUGGAGUGCCGAACCCGGAUUGCUGUUUUUUGGUAUGAGAAGGAAGGGUACUCAGCCAUAAUCUCCAUCAGAUCAAUUUUGGAGGAACAUCUAAUGUCGCCGCCGAGUUCGCCGGAGGAAGAAGCGCCGAGUUUGCCGGAGGUACAAGAACAUUGGUCCAGCACUGCGAUGUCGCCUGCGUCUUCUACAUCAGAGGUGCCAAAGGCGUCUGGUAGAACUCAGGUGGAUGCCAAGGAGAUUCGGCUACCGGACAUGCCAUUUGAAAAUAGAUGACAUCGCUGAAAUGAACAUUGCAGAGGAUUUGGAUAACCGACCUUCAAAAAAAGCAAAAAAUUCUGAAACAGGUGUUCUGGAGCCAUCACCAACUAUGUCAGUAUCUUCUCCAAUUUCUGAAUGUUUUGAAUCGAUUGUGCCGGAAUCAGUUUUACCAUUACAUGAUGUUAAGGAACCAGAUUCCAAUAAAGAGAUCAUAGUUGAAGAGAAAUAUGAUUAUCUACCACAAGACAAUACAUUGACCGAUCAUGAUCUAUGUGCUCAUAUAGCAAUAGAAUCACCUUUCAGAAAACAAUUGUUGGUUCAGAUCGAUGGGAGUUCUGUGUUACAAAAUCAGUUGAUGUGUCUGCUAGAUGAAAAAGAGUGGGUAAAUGAUGAUGUAAGUAGUCAAACAGGAAAAUUGUUAUUAAUCACUAAUAUCUAUUACUAAUGUAUUUAAAAAUAAUCUUAAUUAUAUAGGUGAUCAAUGCAUAUAUAUGUUGUAUGAAGGACCAAAUACAUGUCCAGAAUGACAAUAAAGUAUAUUUGAAGA